rnacentral:rRNA from 1 species
CUGGGCGUAAGAGCGCGUAGGCGGCUUGUUAAGUGUGGUGUGAAAUCUCCAGGGCUCAACCCGGAAACUGCACCGCAUACUGGCUAGCUGGAGUGAUGCAGAGGUUUGUGGAAUUCCUGGUGUAACGGUGAAAUGUGUUGAUAUCAGGAGGAACACCCAUGGCGAAGGCAGCAAACUGGGCAUCAACUGACGCUGAGGCGCGAAAGCGUGGGUAGCAAACAGGAUUAGAUACCCUGGUAGUCCACGCCCUAAACGAUGGAUACUAGGCGUAAGAGGUAUCGACCCCUCUUGUGCCGCAGCUAACGCAUUAAGUAUCCCGCCUGGGGAGUACGGCCGCAAGGUUGAAACUCAAAUGAAUUGACGGGGACCCGCACAAGCGGUGGAGCAUGUGGAUUAAUUCGAUACUAACCGAAGAACCUUACCCAGGUUUGACAUCGAUCGUAAGACCUAGAGAUAGGUCCCUCUCCCACAAGGAGACGUGAAGACACUUGUUGCAUGGCUGUCGUCAGCUCGUGCCGUGAGGUGUACGGUUAAGUCCGCCAACGAGCGCAACCCUCGUCCUGUGUUACCAGCAUGAAAGAUGGGGACUCACAGGAGACCGCCGGUGUAAGCCGGAGGAAGGUGGGGAU